ACCGGGGAAAUCAUAACGCUCAUAAUGUCUUAAAAUUUUUGUCCAUCGAAAGCUGAACUGUGGAUUUGUACGAAUUAGAGAUCAUCAGCACUUACAUCAUACACGGAGGUGUUGACAUCACACCAGGACAAUACACUUCAGCUGUACAAGGAGGUGUUGACAUCACACCAGGACAAUACACUUCAACUGUACAAGAUUCUUCUGACUUCAUCAACGUAACCACUCAUCCAGUCCCUAAGCUGGAAAAUGGUGUUUCUUCUUCCCUCCGAAUCAAAGAAGUCCAAAUUUUGUGCCUCAUCAUGUCUCUCAUUUGCCUGUAUUGUAAUUUCAGUAACGUAAUCAAGUGAUUUUAAACAGGUGAUGGUGUGUGUGUGUGUGUGUGUUUAACCUCUCCUAGUACAUACUGCUGAU